UUGGGUUACUAACACAUGAUUGUU
rnacentral:siRNA from 1 species